AUUGAACGCUGGCGGCAGGCUUUACACAUGCAAGUCGAACGGCAGCGCGGUCUUCGGCUUGGCGGCGAGUGGCGAACGGGUGAGUGAUGCAUCGGAACGUGCCCAGUAGUGUGUGAUAGCGCGGCGAAGGAGGGAUUCAUACCGCAUUAGCGCUGACGGUGUACGCGGGGGAGCGGAGGGCCUCCCGCUCUUGGACCAGCGGAUGUCGGAUUAGCUAGUUGGCGGGGUAAAGGCCCACCAAGGCGACGAUCCGUAGCUGGUCUGAGAGGAUGAGCAGCCACACUGGAACUGAGACACGGUCCAGACUCCUACGGGAGGCAGCAGUGGGGAAUAUUGGACAAUGGGCGCAAGCCUGAUCCAGCCAUACCGCGUGGGUGAAGAAGGCCUUCGGGUUGUAAAGCCCUUUUGUUGGGAAAGAAAAGCAGCAGGUUAAUACCCCGCUGUUCUGACGGUACCCAAAGAAUAAGCACCGGCUAACUUCGUG
rnacentral:rRNA from 1 species